CAGCUGAAAGGAAGAGUCGUUAAGAAAAAGGACGCCAGCACAACAAACACCACCAUCACCAUUAAAGAGCUGACAAAAAAUGACACCGAUACCUACUUCUGCACUCUGAUGUGUAAGGUGAAUGGGCAAAGCAAGCAGCACCAUGGUAACGGAACAAAGAUUCACGUCUGUGAUCAAGUGUGCAUCGCUAGGAAAAUCCCAACCGCCAGUGCCACAGCUCCGCCAGAGCCAGACAGCGAUGCUGCUGAAGACGGUCUUCUUCCUCUUCCGUUCUAUGCCCUCCUCACGCUGAAGCUGGUGUUUGCUGUUGUCACGGUCACCGUGUCAUUUUCCUGCCCCCGCUGUUGAGGCUUUUGACAGUUUCACGCAUCGCACACGGCGCAAUUCGAAUUUUGGAGUUCAGUUGGCAGAUGCCCGAACUGGCAGCAACGUUCUUUUCCUGUGUGCAAUGUUCGUAUGUUGUCUCAAAAAGCAUUAAUAAAUAUAAUCACUUAUUCAA